AUUGAACGCUGGCGGAAUGCUUUACACAUGCAAGUCGAACGGUAGAGGGGGCAACCCCCUUGAGAGUGGCGAACGGGUGAGUAAUAUAUCGGAACGUGCCCAGUCGUGGGGGAUAACGUAGCGAAAGUUACGCUAAUACCGCAUACGAUCUAAGGAUGAAAGCGGGGGACUCGCAAGAGCCUCGCGCGAUUGGAGCGGCCGAUAUCAGAUUAGGUAGUUGGUGGGGUAAAGGCUCACCAAGCCAACGAUCUGUAGCUGGUCUGAGAGGACGACCAGCCACACUGGAACUGAGACACGGUCCAGACUCCUACGGGAGGCAGCAGUGGGGAAUUUUGGACAAUGGACGCAAGUCUGAUCCAGCCAUUCCGCGUGCAGGAUGAAGGCCCUCGGGUUGUAAACUGCUUUUGUACGGACGAAAAGGUUUCUCUUAAUACGAGGAGCUCAUGACGGUACCGUAAGAAUAAGCACCGGCUAACUACGUG
rnacentral:rRNA from 1 species